GUUAAGUUUUAUUCUUGCUUUUUCAUUCAAUUUUUGUUUGUUUUAUAUGUAAGGGUUUGCGUGAGUUUUCUUUAUUUCUCUAGAUGGGUUUAAAGGCGUGUCUUUUAUUUAUUCUCAUUAGUUGUUAUUGGUUGGUCAAGUAUUCUUGUAUUUAGCAAUUCAUUUUAGUUUCGGUUAAAUUUUGUGCCAGCAGCCGCGGUUAUACCUUGGAAGCAUUUGAAUGGGUUCGGUGUUGUAGUUAUUAUGUUUAUUAGUUGAUUUUGUUUCAUUGGGUUUAUUAGGUGAAAUUUUUAUUUUUGUUGUGUGUCGUUUGCUUGUUUGGAGGCUAUGAAAUUCCUUUUAUAGACUAGGAUUAGAUACCCUAUUAUUUUGGAAUGUUAAUUUUUGUGCCUGAGUAGUAUUAGUUAUGUUCUUGAAACUUAAAGAAUUUGGCGGUAUCUUAUUCCAUCCAGAGGAAUCUGUCCCGUUAUCGAUAGUCCGCGCUGGACCUUACUUAGUUGCUUUGGUUUGUAUACCGCCGUUUAUUGAUUAUCUUUUUAGAGUUUUAAUUUUCUGGUUUCUUUAUUUUGAUUUAUUUCAGGUCAAGGUGCAGCUUGUUUCUAAGUGGUGUGAUGGAUUACAUUGUUAUUUGUUUAUUUGGAUUGUUGGUUUUGAUAUUGGCAUGAAAUUGGAUUUGGUUGUAAUGUUUUGUAGAUUGUUUUCAUGAUAAUUGGUUCUGGGAUAUGUACACAUCGCCCGUCGCUCUCGUUUAUUUGUUAAUGAGAUAAGUCGUAACAAAGUGGUUGUACCGGAAGGUGCGGCUGGAUUGAU
rnacentral:ncRNA from 1 species